rnacentral:rRNA from 1 species
CGCGAUUCGCCCUUCGGGGUGCACCAGGCGCGAAAACUCUACAAUGCAGGCAACUGCGAUAGGGGAACAUCGAGUGAUCCUCAUAUUGGGGGUCUGUCCACCCGCCUAAAAAGCGGGUGUUAGCAAGGGCCGGGCAAGACCGGUGCCAGCCGCCGCGGUAAUACCGGCGGCUCGAGUGGUGGCCGAUAUUAUUGAGUCUAAAGGGUCCGUAGCCGGCUUUGCAAGUCUCUCGGGAAAUCCAGCGGCUUAACCGUUGGUCGUCCGGGGGGUACUACAUUGCUUGGGACUGGGAGAGGUAGGAGGUACUCAGGGGGUAGGAGUGAAAUCCUGUAAUCCUUUGGGGACCACCGGUGGCGAAGGCGUCCUACCAGAACAGGUCCGACGGUGAGGGACGAAAGCUAGGGGCACGAACCGGAUUAGAUACCCGGGUAGUCCUAGCCGUAAACGAUGCUCGCUAGGUGUCACAACAGUCGUGAACUGUUGUGGUGCCGUAGGGAAGCCGUGAAGCGAGCCACUUGGGAAGUACGACCGCAAGGUUGAAACUUAAAGGAAUUGGCGGGGGAGCAC